CCUACGGGAGGCAGCAGUGGGGAAUCUUGCGCAAUGGGCGAAAGCCUGACGCAGCCAUGCCGCGUGAAUGAUGAAGGUCUUAGGAUUGUAAAAUUCUUUCACCGAGGACGAUAAUGACGGUACUCGGAGAAGAAGCCCCGGCUAACUUCGUGCCAGCAGCCGCGGUAAUACGAAGGGGGCUAGCGUUGCUCGGAAUUACUGGGCGUAAAGGGAGCGUAGGCGGAUAGUUUAGUCAGAGGUGAAAGCCCAGGGCUCAACCUUGGAAUUGCCUUUGAUACUGGCUAUCUUGAGUACGGAAGAGGUAUGUGGAACUCCGAGUGUAGAGGUGAAAUUCGUAGAUAUUCGGAAGAACACCAGUGGCGAAGGCGACAUACUGGUCCGUUACUGACGCUGAGGCUCGAAAGCGUGGGGAGCAAACAGGAUUAGAUACCCUGGUAGUCCACGCUGUAAACGAUGAGUGCUAGUUGUCGGCAUGNAUGCNUGUCGGUGACGCAGCUACGCAUAGACGACGUCCGCCGUCGGGAGGUACGGUCGGUCGAGAGUUAAACUUACUAAGUUAGUUAGUUAGACGGCGNGAGACGNGCGACGGCGACGACGAGGGAGAGG
rnacentral:rRNA from 1 species